AUCAUUUAGUUAUCAAUUAGUUUACUGUUACUUGAGUUAUAUCUAUCAUUUCGUAUACAGCUUAAUCAUGAAAUUUUACAUGUGUUUUAUUCUGUUCUUCUUGGGCAUUCUGAUUUGUCCAUCAUCAUCGCAUCACAGAACCUCAAAAUGUAGUGCCGAAGUAAAAUGUACAGCACGUGUUGGAGAACAUGUGACUGAGGUCAAAGAUAAUAACGGGUGUGUUACAGGCUGCUCUGUACGUUCGCCAUAAGAAGAAUGAACUCAAAUAUUAAGGAUGAUGGCAAACGUCCAAUUAUGUGGGUAUGAAAUUUUAUCCGUUUUUGGGUUUUUGUCUAUUUUAUGCGAAAUGCAAAACUGAGAAUGUUUGCUCUUCAAACUAUGUCAUCCAAUAUAAAAUGAAUAAAGAAAUACUAAUAUAAAUUGAAA